GGAAGGGUGGCAGAGUGGUCGAUUGCUCCGGUCUUGAAAACCGGCGUGCGGCAACGCACCGUGGGUUCGAAUCCCACCCCUUCCG
rnacentral:tRNA from 1 species